GACGAACGCUGGCGGCGUGCUUAACACAUGCAAGUCGAACGGAAAGGCCCUGCUUGCAGGGUGCUCGAGUGGCGAACGGGUGAGUAACACGUGGGUGAUCUGCCCCUUACUUUGGGAUAAGCCUGGGAAACUGGGUCUAAUACUGGAUAGGACCAUGCUGUAGGUGGUGUGGUGGAAAGAUUAGUUUCGGUAAGGGAUGAGCUCGCGGCCUAUCAGCUUGUUGGUGGGGUAAUGGCCUACCAAGGCGUCGACGGGUAGCCGGCCUGAGAGGGUGGACGGCCACAUUGGGACUGAGAUACGGCCCAGACUCCUACGGGAGGCAGCAGUGGGGAAUAUUGCACAAUGGGCGCAAGCCUGAUGCAGCGACGCCGCGUGGGGGAUGACGGCCUUCGGGUUGUAAACUCCUUUCAGCCAUGACGAAGCCCUUGUGGUGACGGUAGUGGCAGAAGAAGCACCGGCUAACUACGCG
rnacentral:rRNA from 1 species